CAAGUCGAACGCGAAAGUUCCCUUCGGGGAGCGAGUAGAGUGGCGCACGGGUGAGUAACACGUAGGUAAUCUACCUUCGGAUUGGGAAUAACAACCGGAAACGGUUGCUAAUACCGAAUAAUGCAGCGGCACCUAAUGGUGACAGUUGUUAAAGCGGGGGAUCGCAAGACCUCGCGUCUGAAGAGGAGCCUGCGGCGGAUUAGCUAGUUGGUAAGGUAAUGGCUUACCAAGGCGAUGAUCCGUAGCCGGCCUGAGAGGGCGGUCGGCCACACUGACACUGACAUACGGGUCAGACUCCUACGGGAGGCAGCAGUCGGGAAUUUUGGGCAAUGGGCGAAAGCCUGACCCAGCAACGCCGCGUGAAGGAUGAAAUCCUUCGGGAUGUAAACUUCGCAAGAACGGGAAGAAUAAGUAAGAGCUAACAUCUCUUACGAUGACGGUACUGUUUGUAAGCUCCGGCUAACUCCGUGCCAGCAGCCGCGGUAAUACGGGGGGAGCAAGCGUUGUUCGGAUUUACUGGGCGUAAAGGGCGCGUAGGCGGCCACCGCAAGUCAGUUGUGAAAGCUCUGGGCUUAACCCAGAAAGGUCAACUGAUACUGCGGGGCUAGAGUGCAGAAGGGGCAACUGGAAUUCUCGGUGUAGCGGUGAAAUGCGUAGAUAUCGAGAGGAACACCUGCGGCGAAGGCGGGUUGCUGGGCUGACACUGACGCUGAAGUGCGAAAGCUAGGGGAGCGAACGGGAUUAGAUACCCCGGUAGUCCUAGCCU
rnacentral:rRNA from 1 species